CGACAAAGAGGCGAACUGUUGCGGGUGGCUGAAGUUUAAGGACGGACCGCUCGCCUUCAGUUCCGUGCGAAUUGGCGUUGGGUGUGGACGCGAGUGGCGGAAGCAGGCGGCGUCGAUAUAUACGAGCUCUUCCAUCUUUCGUGAUGCGGUAUUAGAAGCUGGCAGCUCAGAGAUUCCCGCAAAGUUCAAGUGACAAUUUGCCAGCCAACAACAACUUUCCGACGCAGGCAACGCAAAUUGAAUUCGAUUCGAUUCGAUUGUCUCUCGAUCUUCAUCGAUUCAUUACGCACAGGAAAAGAGGGCGAACCAUAAAGUUCUGGUGAAAAAGUUUCCUGGGCUCCGUUGGCGUGGCAAAGCAACCGAAACCAAACCGAAAUUUCUCAAAUGAGCUUUGCUAACGACGGGCCAAACCAAUUAACAGAAUUCGUUCUUGUGUAAUAAAUAAAUUGCAAACAAUUAUAACUUGCAGUCCACUCAGGCAUAUUCAAAUGAAAUGUGCCACAAAAUGUUUACGGCCAUUGCAACUCAAAGCGACAAGGUGUUGUGGCAGUGGCAGGAAAACUAAAAGAAAGUCGUAAGGCUUUACCCAAAAUUAAUAACUGAUAAAAGCAGAAAAGAGGCACAGAAGCCGGGGAAAUCACACUCAACGUCUGCCCUUCUACCGAGACGCAUGUAAACGCAACCGGAGCCCAGAGAAGGCAAGUGGCAGGGCAGGGAAAGAUGCCAUCGGCAGAUCAGAUCCUGUUUGUAAAUGUCACCACAACGGUGGCGGCGGCGGCUCUAACCGCUGCGGCCGCCGUCAACACCACAAAGUCCGGGGGCGACAACGCCGCACGGGGCUAUACGGAUUCGGAUGCCGAUGCGGGCAUGGGAACGGAGGCGGUGGCCAACAUAUCCGGCUCGCUGGUGGAGGGCCUGACCACCGUUACCGCGGCACUGAGUACGGCUCAGGCGGAUCCGGACUCCGCGGGAGAGUGCGAAGGAGCUGUGGAGGAGCUGCAUGCCAGCGUCCUGGGCCUCCAGCUGGCUGUGCCGGAGUGGGAGGCCCUUCUCACCGCCUUGGUUCUCUCGGUCAUUAUCGUGCUGACCAUCAUCGGGAACAUCCUGGUGAUUCUGAGUGUGUUCACCUACAAGCCGCUGCGCAUCGUCCAGAACUUCUUCAUAGUUUCGCUGGCGGUGGCCGAUCUCACGGUGGCCCUUCUGGUGCUGCCCUUCAACGUGGCUUACUCGAUCCUGGGGCGCUGGGAGUUCGGCAUCCACCUGUGCAAGCUGUGGCUCACCUGCGACGUGCUAUGCUGCACCAGCUCCAUCCUGAACCUGUGUGCCAUAGCCCUCGACCGGUACUGGGCCAUUACGGACCCCAUCAACUAUGCCCAGAAGCGGACCGUGGGUCGCGUCCUGCUGCUCAUCUCCGGGGUGUGGCUACUCUCGCUGCUGAUAAGUAGUCCGCCGUUGAUCGGCUGGAACGACUGGCCGGACGAGUUCACCAGCGCCACGCCCUGCGAGCUGACCUCGCAGCGCGGCUACGUAAUCUAUUCCUCGCUGGGCUCCUUCUUCAUUCCGCUAGCCAUCAUGACGAUCGUCUACAUAGAGAUCUUCGUGGCCACUCGGCGCCGCCUAAGGGAGCGAGCCAGGGCCAACAAGCUCAACACGAUCGCUCUUAAGUCCACCGAGCUGGAGCCGAUGGCCAACUCCUCGCCCGUCGCCGCCUCCAACUCCGGCUCCAAGUCGCGCCUCCUAGCCAGCUGGCUGUGCUGCGGCCGGGAUCGCGCCCAGUUCGCCACGCCUAUGAUCCAGAACGACCAGGAGAGCAUCAGCAGCGAAACCCACCAGCCGCAGGAUUCCUCCAAAGUGGGUUCCCAUGGCAACAGCGAUCCUCAACAGCAGCACGUGGUCGUGCUGGUCAAGAAGUCGCGUCGCGCCAAGAUCAAGGACUCCAUAAAGCACGGCAAGGCCCGUGGUGGCCGCAAGUCGCAGUCCUCGUCCACCUGCGAGCCCCACGGCGAACAACAGCUCCUACCCGCCGGCGGGGAUGGCGGUAGAUGCCAGGCCGGCGGAGGCCACUCUGGAGGUGGAAAGUCGGACGCCGAGAUCAGCACGGAGAGCGGGAGCGAUCCCAAAGGUUGCAUACAGGUCUGCGUGACUCAGGCGGAAGAGCAGACGUCCCUCAAGCUGACCCCGCCGCAAUCCUCGACGGGAGUCGCCGCCGUUUCUGUUACUCCGCUGCAGAAGAAGACUAGUGGGGUUAACCAGUUCAUUGAGGAGAAGCAGAAGAUCUCGCUGUCCAAGGAGCGGCGAGCGGCUCGCACCCUGGGCAUCAUCAUGGGCGUGUUCGUCAUCUGCUGGCUGCCCUUCUUCCUCAUGUACGUCAUCCUGCCCUUCUGCCAGAGCUGCUGCCCCACGAACAAGUUCAAGAACUUCAUCACCUGGCUGGGCUACAUCAACUCGGGCCUGAACCCGGUCAUCUACACCAUCUUCAACCUGGACUACCGCCGAGCCUUCAAGCGACUUCUGGGCCUGAAUUGAGGCAGGCUGGCGGGGGCGGGUGGAAGAUAUGGGCCGGGCCAACCAAGGUUCCAGCGGGAGAGCGUUACUCAAAGUUUGUGCCAAACUUAAAUGGUCGUGUUUGCGAUCAGCGGAGAUCUCAGUCUAUGUACAGUUGGACCCCCAGUUGGUGAACUUCCGAAUUGAACUGCUCUAACACAUAUAUACUUUCAAAUGCGGGACUAUACUUUCUCUUGGGGAACUAAUUUUAAAUAAGUGGUUGAAUUUGAUAAAGCUUAAUAUAAUUUAUAUGUUUAACGUUUCGGCAAACUGAAAUCCACCACAUUGUAAGUCAAAGCUGAGACUCGAGUGUAUAUAUAGUUUCAAGCUAAGCUAUUAUUUCUAGCUGUACUUAAAAUACUUUUAUUUAGUUUUAAACAUUUUGUUAAUAUAUUGUUGUUCGGAUUCGAUUGAGAUGUACCACCACAGUAAGCGUAGACUGUUCAAUACUCAUACUAAAAUGGGUUGUGCUGCGAUUUAAGUGAGGAUGUUGCCUCGCUCGAGGCACAGCUACUAGGAAAAUCAUCAAAAUUACAUGCAGAAUAUUUUCCCCUUGGCCCAAGUGAAAACAGAAAACGAAUAA
rnacentral:misc_RNA from 1 species